GCGCACGUGGCGGAAUUGGCAGACGCGCUAGAUUCAGGUUCUAGUCCUUUUACCGGGGUGCAGGUUCAAGUCCUGCCGUGCGCACCA
rnacentral:tRNA from 1 species